rnacentral:rRNA from 1 species
AUUAUCCUACGGGAGGCAGCAGUGGGGAAUAUUGGGCAAUGGGCGCAAGCCUGACCCAGCAACGCCGCGUGAAGGAAGAAGGCCCUCGGGUUGUAAACUUCUUUUAUCAGGGACGAAACAAAUGACGGUACCUGAUGAAUAAGCCACGGCUAACUACGUGCCAGCAGCCGCGGUAAUACGUAGGUGGCAAGCGUUAUCCGGAUUUACUGGGUGUAAAGGGCGUGCAGCCGGAGAGACAAGUCAGAUGUGAAAGCCACGGGCUCAACCCGUGAACUGCAUUUGAAACUGUUUCCCUU